rfam:Loxodonta africana clone VMRC15-75M7, complete sequence.
CCUGCUUGUCCUGCAUCCACGGUCAUGAUUGCAGGAAGGUAGUGAGAACAGGAUCUUAAACAUGCAGUCAGCCGAAUCAUUAAAAAGCAGCCACAAGGAAAACUCAUAAAAACAGUACCACCCCCGAAGCGACUCAGAAACUCAAGGUAUAUUUUGAAGGAAGAGCGCGAUCCUUCUUGAAGUCUGGCAAUAGUUGU